rnacentral:rRNA from 1 species
AUUGAACGCUGGCGGCAGGCCUAACACAUGCAAGUCGAGCGGAUGAAGGGAGCUUGCUCCUGGAUUCAGCGGCGGACGGAAGAGUAAUGCCUAGGAAUCUGCCUGGUAGUGGGGGAUAACGUCCGGAAACGGGCGCUAAUACCGCAUACGUCCUGAGGGAGAAAGCGGGGGACCUUCGGACCUCACGCUAUUAGAUGAGACUAGGUCGGAUUAGCUAGUUGGUGGGGUAAAGGCCUACCAAGGCGACGAUCCGUAACUGGUCUGAGAGGAUGAUCAGUCACACUGGAACUGAGACACGGUCCAGACUCCUACGGGAGGCAGCAGUAGGGAAUAUUGGACAAUGGGCGAAAGCCUGAUCCAGCCAUGCCGCGUGUGUGAAGAAGGUCUUCGGAUUGUAAAGCACUUUAAGUUGGGAGGAAGAGCAGUAAGUUAAUACCUUGCUGUUUUGACGUUACCAAAAGAAUAAGCACCGGCUAACUUCGUG